rnacentral:rRNA from 1 species
GAUGAACGCUAGCGGCAGGCCUAAUACAUGCAAGUCGAACGGUGUAGCAAUACACAGUGGCGCACGGGUGCGUAACACGUAUGCAACCUACCUAUUAUUGGGGGAUAGCCUUUGGAAACGGAGAUUAAUACCGCAUAAGACAGUGACAUGGCAUCAUGUAGCUGUUAAAGCUUUGGCGAUAAUAGAUGGGCAUGCGUCCAAUUAGUUAGUUGGUGAGGUAAUGGCUCACCAAGACGAUGAUUGGUAGGGGAUCUGAGAGGAUAAUCCCCCACACUGGCACUGAGAUACGGGCCAGACUCCUACGGGAGGCAGCAGUAGGGAAUAUUGGGCAAUGGACGGAAGUCUGACCCAGCCAUGCCGCGUGCAGGAUGACGGCGUUAUGCGUUGUAAACUGCUUUUUUAUAGGAAGAAGAAGCCCUUGCGAGGGAAAGUGACGGUACUAUAAGAAUAAGCACCGGCUAACUCCGUGCCAGCAGCCGCGGUAAAAC